ACGGGAGGCAGCAGUGAGGAAUAUUGGUCAAUGGAGGCAACUCUGAACCAGCCAUCUCGCGUGAAGGAAUACGGCCCUAUGGGUCUUAAACUUCUUUUAUAGGGGGAUAAAGUGAGGCAUGCAUGCCUUUUUGUAGGUACCCUAUGAAUAAGCAUCGGCUAACUCCGUGCCAGCAGCCGCGGUAAUACGGAGGAUGCGAGCGUUAUCCGGAUUUAUUGGGUUUAAAGGGUGCGCAGGCGGCACGUUAAGUCAGCGGUGAAAUGCAGGGGCUCAACCCCGGCACUGCCGUUGAAACUGGCGAGCUCGAGUACGGAUGAAGUCGGCGGAAUGUGAUGUGUAGCGGUGAAAUGCUUAGAUAUGUCACAGAACACCGAUCGAGAAGUCAGGUCACGAGCUCGCAACUGACGCUCAGGCACGAAAGCGUGGGGAUCAAACAGGAUUAGAUACCCUGGUA
rnacentral:rRNA from 1 species